UACCAGCACCCCGAGUGGUCGGGACGAUUAUUGGGCCUAAAGCAUCCGUAGCCGGUCUUGCAAGUCUUCCGUUAAAUCCAGCUGCUUAACAGAUGGGCUGCGGAAGAUACUACAAGACUAGGAGGUGGGAGAGGCAAGCGGUACUCAGUGGGUAGGGGUAAAAUCCUCUGAUCCAUUGAAGACCACCAGUGGCGAAGGCGGCUUGCCAGAACGCGCUCGACGGUGAGGGAUGAAAACUGGGGGAGCAAACCGG
rnacentral:rRNA from 1 species